GGGCGUAUAGCUCAGCGGUAGAGCGCUGCUCUUACACAGCAGUGGUCGGGGGUUCAAAUCCCUCUGCGCCCACCA
rnacentral:tRNA from 1 species